rnacentral:misc_RNA from 1 species
UCUCCGUUUGUGAACCUGCGGAAGGCUCAUUACAGAGUUUUUAACUCCCCAACCCAUGUGAACUUACCAUUGUUGCCUCGGCGGAGCCUACCCUGUAGCUACCCUGUAGGGUGGUUACCCUGUAGCGCCCCGCCGGUGGAUUUUCAAACUCUUGUUAUUUUUAGUAAUCUGAGCGUCUUAUUUUAAAUAAGUCAAAACUUUCAACAACGGAUCUCUUGGUUCUGGCAUCGAUGAAGAACGCAGC